rnacentral:rRNA from 1 species
UCCCGGUAGUGUAGUGUCCCUCGGCCCCCUCCGCGGGGCGUCCGCCGGAGGAUUAUACAACACCCUAUUUGCUCUGUACGGCCUCUCUGAGUCUUCUGUACUGAAUAAGUCAAAACUUUCAACAACGGAUCUCUUGGUUCUGGCAUCGAUGAAGAACGCAGCGAAAUGCGAUAAGUAAUGUGAAUUGCAGAAUUCAGUGAAUCAUCGAAUCUUUGAACGCACAUUGCGCCCGCCAGUAUUCUGGCGGGCAUGCCUGUUCGAGCGUCAUUUCAACCAUCAAGCCCCCGGGCUUGUGUUGGGGACCUGCGGCUGUCCGCAGGCCCUGAAAACCAGUGGCGGGCUCGCUGGUCACCCCGAGCGUAGUAGUUAUAUCCAACUCGCCCAGGGCGUGCUGCGGGCUCCGGCCGUUAAAGCCCAACUCAUU